GACGAACGCUGGCGGCGUGCCUAACACAUGCAAGUCGAACGGAAACGCACUGCUUUUUUGGUCUGCCCGAGUGGCGAACGGGUGAGUAACACGUGAGUAACCUGCCCUAGACUUUGGGAUAACUUCAGGAAACUAAGGCUAAUACCGUAUAGGAGCUCCUGUUGCAUGGCAGGCGUUGGAACGUUGCGGUGGGUGCGGUUGGACUCGCGGGUAAUCAGCUUGUUGGUGGGGGAGUGGCAUACCCAGGCUUUGACGGGUAGCCGGCCUGUGAGGGUGACCGGGCACAUUGGUACUGAGGUAGGGCCCAGAGUGGUACGGGAGACAGCAGUGGGAAAUAUUGCACAAUGGGCGGAAGCGGGUGACAGCAACGCCGGGUGCGUGAUGACGGUCUUUGGGUAGUAAACCGCUUUAGCCUGUGACGAAGCGUGAGUGACGGUAAUGGAUAAAGAAGCACCGGCUAACUACGUG
rnacentral:rRNA from 1 species